CCUACGGGGGGCAGCAGUGGGGAAUAUUGGACAAUGGGCGAAAGCCUGAUCCAGCCAUGCCGCGUGUGUGAAGAAGGCCUUCGGGUUGUAAAGCACUUUCAGUGGGGAAGAAAGCCUUGGGGCUAAUACCCUCGAGGAAGGACAUCACCCACAGAAGAAGCACCGGCUAACUCCGUGCCAGCAGCCGCGGUAAUACGGAGGGUGCGAGCGUUAAUCGGAAUUACUGGGCGUAAAGCGCGCGUAGGCGGUCUGAUAAGCCGGUUGGGAAAGCCCCGGGCUCAACCUGGGAACGGCAUCCGGAACUGUCAGGCUAGAGUGCAGGAGAGGAAGGUAGAAUUCCCGGUGUAGCGGUGAAAUGCGUAGAGAUCGGGAGGAAUACCAGUGGCGAAGGCGGCCUUCUGGACUGACACUGACGCUGAGGUGCGAAAGCGUGGGUAGCAAACAGGAUUAGAUACCCCGGUAGUC
rnacentral:rRNA from 1 species